UACGGAAGGCAGCAGUGGGGAAUAUUGCACAAUGGGCGCAAGCCUGAUGCAGCCAUGCCGCGUGUAUGAAGAAGGCCUUCGGGUUGUAAAGUACUUUCAGUCGUGAGGAAGGUGUUAAGGUUAAUAACCUUAGCAAUUGACGUUAGCGACAGAAGAAGCACCGGCUAACUCCGUGCCAGCAGCCGCGGUAAUACGGAGGGUGCGAGCGUUAAUCGGAAUUACUGGGCGUAAAGGGCACGCAGGCGGUUAAUUAAGUUGGAUGUGAAAUCCCCGAGCUUAACCUGGGAAUGGCAUUCAAGACUGGUUAGCUAGAGUCUUGUAGAGGGGGUAGAAUUCCAUGUGUAGCGGUGAAAUGCGUAGAGAUGUGAGGAUACCGGUGGCGAAGGCGGCCCCUGGGACAAGACUGACGCUCAUGUGCGAAAGCGUGGGGAGCAAACAGGAUUAGAUACC
rnacentral:rRNA from 1 species